rnacentral:tRNA from 1 species
UAUGGCAGAUUAGUGCAAUGAAUUUAAACUUCAUAUAUAAAGAUUAUUCUUUUAUUAGAA